rnacentral:lncRNA from 1 species
GGCAUUCGAAGUAGGAACACACGGCCGUGUCCCAACCCAUGUUUGUGCCCGUGUAACUUUCUGACUUGGGUCACACGGCCAAGGCACACACCCGUGUGCCAUGCCAUGUACCCCUCAAAGGCCGUGUGCCAGGCCAUGUAACAGCCUGACUUGCAACCCUUAGUAAGCUACAGGGGACACACGGCUGUGUCGCAUGGUUGUGUGUUACACACAGUUGGGACACACGCCC